GGGGAAGGCAGCCCUCGUGGCAGAGGCCUGGCAUCCAAGUGCCUGCCUAGCUCAGAGAAGGCACAAUAUGAGGGGCCGGAAGACACAGCCUCUCCCAGCCAGUGCACCCCUGCCCACGCCCGCGUCCCAGGGGGACCAUCAGCUGUGGCUGGCACAGGGUGAGGCAGGGGGCAGGACACGGUGAGCACGGACGACGUCCUGGGAUGGGAGGAGGACUGUGCCAUAUGGGCCCUCCCCACCACCUUCCAAUCCA
rnacentral:lncRNA from 1 species